rnacentral:rRNA from 1 species
UACGAAGGGGGCUAGCGUUGCUCGGAAUCACUGGGCGUAAAGGGUGCGUAGGCGGGUCUUUAAGUCAGGGGUGAAAUCCUGGAGCUCAACUCCAGAACUGCCUUUGAUACUGGGAAGCUUGAGUCCGGGAGAGGUGAGUGGAACUCCGAGUGUAGAGGUGAAAUUCGUAGAUAUUCGCAAGAACACCAGUGGCGAAGGCGGCUCACUGGCCCGGUACUGACGCUGAGGUGCGAAAGCGUGGGGAGCAAACAGG